rnacentral:rRNA from 1 species
UACGUAGGGGGCAAGCGUUAUCCGGAUUUACUGGGUGUAAAGGGAGCGUAGACGGUUUGGCAAGUCAGAUGUGAAAGCCCAGGGCUCAACCCUGGGACUGCAUUUGAAACUGCGAGACUAGAGUGCAGGAGAGGUAAGUGGAAUUCCUAGUGUAGCGGUGAAAUGCGUAGAUAUUAGGAGGAACACCAGUGGCGAAGGCGACUUACUGGACUGUAACUGACGUUGAGGCUCGAAAGCGUGGGGAGCAAAC